GGAAUCUUCCGCAAUGGGCGAAAGCCUGACGGAGCAACGCCGCGUGAGUGAUGAAGGUCUUCGGAUCGUAAAACUCUGUUAUUAGGGAAGAACAAGUGCGUAGGUAACUAUGCGCACCUUGACGGUACCUAAUCAGAAAGCCACGGCUAACUACGUGCCAGCAGACGCGGUAAUACGUAGGUGGCAAGCGUUAUCCGGAAUUAUUGGGCGUAAAGCGCGCGGAGGCGGUUUUUUAAGUUUGAGGUGGAAGCCCACGGCUCAAACGUGGAGGGUCAUUGGAAACUGGAAAACUUGAGUGCAGAAGAGGAAAGUGGAAUUCCAUGUGUAGCGGUGAAAUGCGCAGAGAUAUGGAGGAACACCAGUGGCGAAGGCGACUUUCUGGUCUGCAACUGACGCUGAUGUGCGAAAGCGUGGGGAUC
rnacentral:rRNA from 1 species